rnacentral:rRNA from 1 species
UACGUAGGGUGCGAGCGUUGUCCGGAAUUAUUGGGCGUAAAGAGCUCGUAGGCGGUUUGUCGCGUCGAAUGUGAAAAUCCGGGGCUCAACUCCGGACUUGCAGUGGGUACGGGCAGGCUAGAGUGUGGUAGGGGAGACUGGAAUUCCUGGUGUAGCGGUGGAAUGCGCAGAUAUCAGGAGGAACACCGAUGGCGAAGGCAGGUCUCUGGGCCACUACUGACGCUGAGAAGCGAAAGCAUGGGGAGCGAACAGG